CACCUCCCAUGAUCAAUCUGAUCUCGGUUGGGGGACAACAUCAAGGUGUUUUUGGACUCCCUCGAUGCCCAGGAGAGAGCUCUCACAUCUGUGACUUCAUCCGAAAAACACUGAAUGCUGGGGCGUACUCCAAAGUUGUUCAGGAACGUGGUUUGGAUUUUACAGAAGUGGCCAAGCCAAGGAAACCAUUCCCUUACAGGAGACCUCCCUGUACACACAGGACCGCCUGGGGCUAAAGGAAAUGGACAAUGCAGGACAGCUAGUGUUUCUGGCUACAGAAGGGGACCAUCUUCAGUUGUCUGAAGAAUGGUUUUAUGCCCACAUCAUACCAUUCCUUGGAUGAAACCCGUAUAGUUCACAAUAGAGCUCAGGGAGCCCCUAACUCUUCCAAACCACAUGGGAGACAGUUUCCUUCAUGCCCAAGCCUGAGCUCAGAUCCAGCUUGCAACUAAUCCUUCUAUCAUCUAACAUGCCCUACUUGGAAAGAUCUAAGAUCUGAAUCUUAUCCUUUGCCAUCUUCUGUUACCAUAUGGUGUUGAAUGCAAGUUUAAUUACCAUGGAGAUUGUUUUACAAACUUUUGAUGUGGUCAAGUUCAGUUUUAGAAAAGGGAGUCUGUU
rnacentral:lncRNA from 1 species